CAGUAGCCGCGGUAAUACGAAGGGGGCUAGCGUUGUUCGGAAUUACUGGGCGUAAAGGGCGCGUAGGCGGCCAUUCAAGUUAGAUGUGAAAGCCCUGGGCUCAACCUAGGAAUUGCAUUUGAUACUGUUUGGCUUGAGUUCGGGAGAGGUGAGUGGAAUUCCCAGUGUAGAGGUGAAAUUCGUAGAUAUUGGGAAGAACACCAGUGGCGAAGGCGGCUCACUGGACCGACACUGACGCUGAGGCGCGAAAGCGUGGGGAGCAAACAGGAUUAGAUAUCCGCGUAGUCCCUGUCUCUUAUAC
rnacentral:rRNA from 1 species